CAGCACAGUAAAUUGACGAAACUGCCCUUGACUAAACAGCUCCUUCUGUUUCCGUUUUUGCCCCUUCUCCUUCGUUGAUAACCCUUCGUUCGCUCACAGAAGCCCCCAUUUCCAGUUCGUUUUGAACCAGCUGGUUGGGGGGCAGCCAUGGAAGAUCUGCACAUGGAUGGGGAGUCGUCGAUCUUUGUUUGCGAGGUGCGCUGCAAAUCUAGCCGUCCUUUUGCUCUUCGUCUGAGAGAUUUCUGGUGGGAAGAUUUUUCAUCUUUUCUACAACCUUCCACUCAGACUUCCAUCUCUCUUGCUUUCGAAUUUCUGCAUCCUUUGUCUUCAGUUGCUAGGGAUUGGAAUGGAUACGCAGGAUACAUCUCCUUCAGUGUUGCUAUUCUUUGACAAGGAAAGAUUUAUAUUUAAUGCUGGAGAGUAUGAAUCACAGUUAGGCAGUCAUCCAAUUGCUUCAGAUUCAAUUGUCUCUCACCUCUCUGACGUAUAAGCAAUCACUGAAGCAAAGAAGCGAAGAUAACUUUCAAAUUAUUGUUUCUUCAUUUUGAUUUAUUGACUUUUUCUUUUUUCGUUUGUGUUGCCUCAAAAUUCCUUCACAAAAUUCGACUUGCCUCUACUACUACGUGUUUCCUGCUCUCUUCCUUAUGUUGUUUUCCCCCUGAUUUAAUCUCAGGCUUCCAUGAAAUUUUGAUUGUUUCAGGUGAGCUUGGGUACGAAAUCCAAAUACGAGAAGCAGUCGUUCACCCAAAUUGUUUAACCAUUCUUCGCUUUAAAGAGUCAAGACCUCCAUCAAAGAGAAGAAAAGUCAUGAAGAAAUUGCAAAACAAAGCCCACCGAAUUAAACAACGUGCUGCUCAAAACUAUUCAAAUUUUGCUAUUUUAAUAGCUCCUUCCCACUAUUAACAUCUCAAUGUAUAUACAAACAUGUGUACUAUUUUAACAUAAAAAGUAGCCUGUAAAAUAUGUGAUUUCCUUUUUUUCCACUUAUACUUCCUUAGUUAAGCAUAAUGCUACGAGUUAAAUCUCAUUGUAUAUAUAAACAAUUUUAUUUUGUCUACGUAAUUUCAAAACCCACAGCAUCGCGCGGGCUUUAUUGCUA